rnacentral:rRNA from 1 species
CCUACGGGAGGCAGCAGUGGGGGAUAUUGCACAAUGGGGGGAACCCUGAUGCAGCGACGCCGCGUGGGUGAAGGAGCGUUUCGGCGCGUAAAGCCCUAUCGGAAGGGAAGAAGAUGACGGUACCUGACCAAGAAGCCCCGGCUAACUACGUUCCAGCAGCCGCGGUAAUACGUAGGGGGCAGGCGUUAUCCGGAUUUACUGGGUGUAAGGGGGGCGCAGACGGCAAUGCAAGCCAGGAGUGAAAUCCCGGGGGCCAAACCCGGGACUGCUUGUGGAACUGCAUGGCUGGAGUACAGGGGGGGCGGGCGGAAUUCCUGGUGUAGCGGUGAAAUGCGUAGAUAUAAGGAGGAACACCGGUGGCGAAGGCGGCCUGCUGGCCUGUGACUGCCGUUGAGGCCCGAAGGCGUGGGGAGCAAACAGGAUUAGAUACCCCUGUAGUC